rnacentral:misc_RNA from 1 species
UACAGAGGUGGCGAGCGUUGUUCGGAUUCAUUGGGCGUAAAGGGUGCGUAGGUGGCUUGGUAAGUUGGAUGUGAAAACCCACAGCUCAACUGGGGGCUAUUGUCCAAAACUACCGAGCUUGAGGAUUUGGGAAGAGAGCGGAAUUCUCGGUGUAGCGGUGAAAUGCGUAGAUAUCGAGAAGAACACCAGCGGCGUAGGCGGCUUUCUAUCAAACCCCUGACACUAAGGCACGAAAGCGUGGGGAGCAAACGGG